rnacentral:lncRNA from 1 species
GUUGGAGCGACACUUCCCAGAGGGCAGCGGUCACGCCAGAUCUUCGGCUUCCAUUCCGUUUUCGCGCGCUUCUCCCUCUUUGCAGGCCAAGUGGCUGUGAGGAGAGAAGAGGAGGAAGCGCCAGGGAGCCCAGAGCCACCAGACAGUGACGCCACAAAGCCACAGCCAUCACACCCGCACAGGUGAAGGACACGCAACCAAAUCCCCGUCACCCCAGCACAGCCACUCACCUGUCACAGCCUCGCAGCCACACCCACGGCACGGAGGCGCAUCCCACCGCUCACUCGCGUCUCUCACACACACCCCGCCACACGCUGCCCGUCUGUCCCCACAGACACACACCGUCCUCUGCCGUUCAUGCCCGAGAGUCCCCUGAGGACUGGCGUCCUUACUACGGGCCUCCACCCUGUGAGCGCUCCCGCUGCCACCCCACCUGGUUCACGUCGGGCUCCGAAUUGACUCGCUUCACAGGAUUCCCGCAUCCUGUGCUAACACAUCCACAAACGAGCUCCACUCACCUUGCAAAGAGGGAGAAGCGCGCGAAAACGGAAUGGAAGCCGAAGAUCUGGCGUGACCGCUGCCCUCUGGCAAGUGUCGCUCCAACCUGAACCUCUCUGGGCGCGGCGGCUCGUCAGACAGGCCGCCGAAGCGCGGAAGUCCCGGUGGAACUGCAGCGGCGAGAACCGCCCGGAGCCCGGCCCCGGAGCGCGCGAUGCGAGGGCACGUGCACGGGCAAACGCCGCUGCGCCCAGGAGGCCGAGCAGGGCAGCCCGGCGCUGGUUCUGAGCCUCUGGCCUGUGCACGCAGAGUCGCACUGGAGUGUCGGGGGGCGGCCCCUGGGGCGCGAGCGCACGGCGGGUGUGAGCUCUGAGGGCGGGGCCCCGGGCGAGUCCCCUCAGGCGGCUGCAGCCUGGCGACAGCAUAUGCGGAACCUAACUCCUGAUACCGCCGGGGGCGGGCUGGUUUAUUCAGAAAGCCUGUUAGCUGCGUUUAAACGGUGUGUAGGAGUGAAGUAACACAUGUUUACUUAAUUCUCUAGGCUAAGCUAUAAUAAUAAAAAUGGAAUGAAUAUUUAAUUGUAAAGGUGCUGUGGUGAAUAUUUUGUAUAUACUUUGCAAUAUUGAUUUAGGGACAGAUUUUCCAAGCAUACCCAAAGAGAGGAAUCUUAGUAAAAUUCUAAGAGUUCACUGGAUAAUUAUUGUAAUCAUCCUAAUCACUUGAAUGCAAAU